rnacentral:rRNA from 1 species
AACGAACGUUAGCGGCGCGCCUAACACAUGCAAGUCGAGCGAGAAAGGGCUUCGGCCCCGGUAAAGCGGCGCACGGGUGAGUAACACGUGGGUAAUCUGCCCUCGAGUUGGGGAUAACAUUCCGAAAGGAGUGCUAAUACCGAAUAAGACCACGACCUCGAAAGAGGAUGCGGUCAAAGCUGGCCUCUAUACAUAAGCUAGCGCUUGAGGAUGAGCCCGCGGCGCAUCAGGUAGUUGGUGAGGUAACGGCUCACCAAGCCAAAGACGCGU